rnacentral:sRNA from 1 species
GCAAGCCAGCCAGAUUCGCAGCAUAAUAUAUUUAACUGCUACUGCUGGGGGACGGUUUGAGACCGAGUUUUUUCGUUUCCUUCUGUAUCACAUGCACUGUACGGUUACUCGUUUUGAUCGGGUGUUUUAUCGUCCUCCUUACUGCCCAGUUUCCAGGGCCGCCACCACAACUCAACAAGCCGCCCAAUUGAUAGAUCAAGGAGAAGUUCAAGUCUCAUGGUAACACCAGGAACUAACUGGUGGCCCUCUUCCAGCAGUUCCAAGCCUGAACGGGGCUGAAAGAGGCUGAAGGCUGAAUGAAAGCACAACAACGCCAUCCAUUUAUUGCGCUCCGGCUGGACGACCAGGCAGCCAGUGCCUGGUAUUGCAUCUUUUGCCGGUUCCAGGGAGUAGCAAGCUGCUUCAGCCGUCGGCCAUCACGGGCAAAUUUCUAGUCAACUUGACGUUGUGCAACGGAGCAUGCAUGUGAGUGAAAUAUGGAGUCUCUGAGAUUGAGGCUGCCUGCCUCUCUUCUCACGUUUUUUCGAGCUGCUAAGAGUGGUGAGUAUCUUGGUUCGGGCUAGAUUAAGCAGUUAGUCUCUGCAGCGCUCAAGGAACGUCUUCUCAAGGACUUCGGCGAGUACGAAACAGCCGUCGAGUUCCGUAUUGAAGGAGACAGCCACAAAUAUGCCAAAAUAAUUGCAAGUUGGUCAUAUCUGUGCAGUUACAAUUGCAGCUACGAUGGUGCGCAUAGUUUGGGGAAAGUCUACUAUUGAUUGGUAUCAAGUUCAGGAUUUGUUUCGUUCUCGGGCGUGGAUUCACUCGAUGCAGAUUUGUGGUUUCAUCAAUUUGUUUCAUUGAUAUCGAGAACUCGCAAACAUCGCCGGCACGAAUUAAUUGCGACGCGUGUCCAAUGGAAGGUUCUGCACACACAAGUCCAACCACGCUCAAUCUCCACCGUAGAUAAUAGUGUGGCCAAUUGCCGAUAUUCUGCCCUUUUAAGAGCGCUUGUUUUCUUCCACUGUUUUCUUGGAGUUUGACAAUGUCUCGCCGAACACUAUCCGGACUGUUCCUGGACAAGAAUACCUGACACAUAGCGUAGAACAUCACGACUGAAUCCCCUUAAUGGAAGUCGAACACGUUUCUGAAGAUGUCGGAGUGGAGGGACACAAGUUAAGCCUAACUCCGAUAUAUCUGGAGCAAGAAAAUGGUGUUCCGUUGAACCGUUAAAAUAGAUCAGGGGGUUGUAAUUUCAUGCGAAAGGGAGAGAUACACUGCAACAACCCAGCCGAGUAUCAAUGUUGGUAAGUUGGC